GCUUGAAUGAAUAGCAUAAAUAAAUCUUUCAAAAAUUAUUGAAGCGCCACCAUAAAUCUUUUAACUAUUGAAUUCGUCCGGGCACAAGAAUGUUGGAAACUGUCGUUUUCGUGCAUCCAAAUCCUCAAGAGGUUAGUGAUAGUCGGAUUUUAUGCUCAAAUUUAUUGGGUUUUUUUAUAAGGUUCUUAGUGUUUUUAUUUGUUUGGUAAUGAAGUAGGAUUUCGUCUCCAGGCACGCAAUUUUAAUUUGUUUGCUUAUAAUUUGAGGAUUUCUUAAUUCGCUGUUUAUUUAUUUUAUUUUUUAAUUGGGGUUAGCGAUUUCUCCAGAUUUCGUUGAAAUGUUAUUCAGAAAUUAAUGUUCACGUAUUAUUACCAACAACCCUGUUUCCAAGUAAGAUCCAAAAUUUAUAGCAAACAUCUCCUGUUUUAAUCUUUUUUUUAUUGUUCAAUUUAUAUAUAUAUAUAUAUAUAUAUAUAUAUAUAUAUAUAUAUAUAUAUAUAUAUACAUAUAUAUAUAUAUAUAUAUAUAUAUAUUAUAUAUAUGCGUGUGUUAUAUUAUAUAAUAUGAGAUGAAUGCAUCACAUUAAGCUCUCACAAAUAUGACCCACAUGAUUAUUAGUAGAAAAUGAAGGAGAAAAAGAUGAAUGGAAAUGAUACAUAGGUUUUUUUUCCCCAGGUAAAUGAUACAUAUGUUAAAUCGAAAUACAUAUACUUUUUGGUUCAUUUAUGUCCACACUAAAUUUUUUUCCCACAACGACACUGCAAUUAUAUUAUUGUGUAUUUUUUUUUCCAGGUGCAAUAUAUGGGUUAGUCUAAUUAUUAUUGCUUCAAAUUCAGACCGUACAUAUUAAGAUCUACCAUGAGGCUCAACCACAUAUUCUCUACUAUUAAGGAAGUAUAUUUCAAUAUUAUUUUACAUAUAUUUGGUGUUUAAUUUAUUUAUUUUUCGAUAAGGUAUGUAUUGAAUCUUAUUCUAUAUACGUGCAUAAAGAAAUAUAACGAUGCACCUUAAUGGGAAAGCAAAAAAAUUCUUUUAUAUUAAUAUGCCCUUAUAGUUUUAUAACCUUAUUUUCACAAUUUAGAUGACAUUGUUUUUAGAAGUAAAUUGCAUUAGUAUAAGUUUGUUUGUGUUUGUGUUUUGAUUGUCGGGGAAGUUUGUAACAUCAAAUAAUAGUUAAGUUUUAGAAAUGAUAUCUAAGUUUUAUAUUAGUAGUAGUUAGAGAUGUUCGAAUCGAUGAUGUUCAUGAGUUUGGACAAAAUAUGUUUUUGGUUGCGUAAUUUGUAUUGAUUUCUUUUUCUUUUUAUUUCUUUCGUUGUAAUUUUUUUCUUUCAUCAUGGACUGCUAGGAAGAAUGAUUGUACGACAUGGUAUAUAUAAUUUCUCAACCGCAUAGGCAUUUCCUGUGAAUCUGUCUUUUUAAUAAUUUUAAAUUUAACAAAAUGUUGACAUCUUUUAACAAAAGUGUUGGCAUCUCUAUAUAUGUGGAUCAGCACUUCCACUGAAUUUAUAUGGCUGAUAUAGUUAAUUCAUUUGACAGGUGGCAGGUGCAAAUAUGCAGUUCACUAACAAAUUCAUUUUAGGAUGACAAGUAAUCUAAUACAUCUCCUCUAUUUUUUAAUCUUUGCUCGCGUGAUGAAGAACAUGGUUAUGUAAUACAAAAUAGUCUAUUGUGGUUCUAUACCUCUAAAUGGAUAAAUUGUUGGUGUAUGCAGGGAACACUUCAACUGUUUUACAUCCCCAACAUGUGAAUGCAAGCCCGAUUUCCCCGUUGUAUCUCCAUAUCCUUCUCUGAAAUAACCUAUGGUAUUGUCAGCUAUUCACUUCAAAUUCAGUUUAUUUGCCCAGCAUAUUGUAUUCCAAUUUAUGCCAAAACAAUUUCAGAUAUUGAUUAUUCAUAGUGCUCUAAUUUGUUAGUAUUAAUCUUCAGAUAUUUUUUUUUACGAUUUUAAUUGCUACCAUUUAUGCGUUUUUGUUGAUGGAAUUUUAUUUCUUAAUCAAAGUAUGUUGAACCCUAUUCCGGUCUCCAUCUCAGCAAAUAAGGUCUUCUCCAAAAAAGUGAAUCAGGAUUCGCUCAAGGGCUACGACUUUUCAUACAUGCUAUAACUGUGAUCGAGCAUCUUAUCCAAAAUAUAUAUGUAAUAAAUUUUUUUUUCUAUGAUUUUUCCAGGAAUCAACACGACUGCUUCCUACAUCAGUUCACCGUUGAUUACAAGCUUCGUCAACUUCGUAUCGGCAGAUGACGAAAACUCAAAAUGGCACCCAGUAUGAUUCUCACAUUCAUUUUCUUUACCGCAUAGUGUGUAGAGUCACUCUCUCAGAGGUAAUGGUAUUUUGGUGCUCAUCGUAUUGGAAUCGGAGUUUGAAAACUUGUCCACAAUUUGUAUUUUUUUAAAUUUACAAAGUUUAUUUUCAUAUUUUCGAUAAAGCGAAUUACAACUUUGAAUCCCACUGCACAGUUCAAAGUUCAUAUUAGUAUUUUUGGUUAUAUGAUAUACAUUAGAACCAAAUUUUGGUAAUUAAUUAAGAUUUUCACAAAGAUGGGUUUGGUUUUAAUUAUGUUUUUUCAAAUGUUAGGUUGAGCAAUUUGUUAUUUUAGUAUUCUUUAAGGUUGAGCAAGUAACUGCAUUAGAAUAUUUUAGUUUCUAUUUAGUGUGGUUCAAGUCGUACAGUAAAUUUUAUUAUGACUUAGAAUCCUCAUAAACUUAAAAAACCUAACUCACCCGUUGAACACUUUGCCAGGGCUUCCCAAGAUGUGAAUCUUGAUUUUGUUGCAGAUGCAUUUGCCAAGAGGAAAAGUAGCAAGGGGCAACAAGUAUUCAAAUUUUGACUUCAUCAAGCGACUCCAGAGGCGAAGCAUCAGUGCUCGAAUUUGAAACACUUACAAAUGGAAGGACAUGAUAGUAUAAUUUUUCUUACGAUUACUGAAUUGUUUUUAGUACUAUAUACAUUGAUUUAUGGAUUCGUAUUUAGGUAAUUUUAUGUUACUGCAAAAUGUAUUUAAUUGAAAUAAAUU
rnacentral:lncRNA from 1 species